rnacentral:rRNA from 1 species
UACGUAGGGGGGCGAGCGUUGUCCGAAGUUACUGGGCGUAAAGCGCGCGUAGGCGGCUCUUUAAGUCUGGUGUGAAAGGUUCAGGGCUCAACCCGAACAGUGCACUGGAUACUGGCAAGCUAGAGUACGGUAGAGGAUGGUGGAAUUCCUGGUGUAGCGGUGAAAUGCGCAGAUAUCAGGAGGAACACCGAGUCGGAAGGCGGAUCUCUGGGCCGAUAACUGACGCUGAGGACGACGAAGCGUGGGGAGCGAACAGG